GAGUUUGAUCCUGGCUCAGAUUGAACGCUGGCGGCAGGCUUAACACAUGCAAGUCGAGCGGAUGAAAGUAGCUUGCUACUGGAUUCAGCGGCGGACGGGUGAGUAAUGCUUAGGAAUCUGCCUAUUAGUGGGGGACAACAUCUCGAAAGGGAUGCUAAUACCGCAUACGUCCUACGGGAGAAAGCAGGGGAUCUUUGGACCUUGCGCUAAUAGAUGAGCCUAAGUCGGAUUAGCUAGUUGGUGGGUAAAGGCCUACCAAGGCGACGAUCUGUAGCGGGUCUGAGAGGAUGAUCCGCCACACUGGGACUGAGACACGGCCCAGACUCCUACGGGAGGCAGCAGUGGGGAA
rnacentral:rRNA from 1 species